CGGAUGUAGCCAAGUGGAUCAAGGCAGUGGAUUUGUGAAUCCCNCCAUGCGCGA
rnacentral:tRNA from 1 species